CCUACGGGAGGCUGCAGUGAGGAAUAUUGGUCAAUGGACGAGAGUCUGAACCAGCCAAGUAGCGUGAAGGAUGACUGCCCUAUGGGUUGUAAGCUUCUUUUAUAAAGGAAUAAAACGAGGCACGUGUGCCUUUUUGCAUGUACUUUAUGAAUAAGGAUCGGCUAACUCCGUGCCAGCAGCCGCGGUAAUACGGAGGAUCCGAGCGUUAUCCGGAUUUAUUGGGUUUAAAGGGAGCGUAGAUGGGUUGUUAAGUCAGUUGUGAAAGUUUGCGGCUCAACCGUAAAAUUGCAAUUGAUACUGGAAGUCUUGAGUGCAGUUGAGGUAGGCGGAAUUCGUGGUGUAGCGGUGAAAUGCUUAGAUAUCACGAAGAACCCCGAUUGCGAAGGCAGCUUACUAAACUGUGACUGACAUUGAUGCUCGAAAGUGUGGGUAUCAAACAGGAUUAGAUACCCCUGUAGUC
rnacentral:rRNA from 1 species